CCCAUGUUGCAUCACUGUUAGGUGGGCUGGGACUCUUGAACCUGGCUGCGGGUCCCCCCUCAUGCUGGAAAUCUGAAUCAAAUUUGUGUUGUCAGCAGAAUCCUACUACUGUUGGCUGGCUUUGC